GUAGUGUACCAAUAGGCCAGGAAAACACUUUUUGUUGAUAGCAGCUGUAAUAUCAGUGAUCCACCACACCAUUAAGACAGAGAUGGAAACACUCCUACAAGAAUUUUGGCUCAUUCCUUUUGGAAGUAGUGACCAAGGACCAGACAUUGUGGGUGUUUACUGAGGCUCUGGACGCCAUCUUUGAUGUGUUUGCAGAUGAUCAUGUGGACCUGUUGUCAUGGAGAUCAGGGUCACAAACAAACUCCAGACCAUAUGGUACCACAGCUGACAGCUAAGAUUCAUCAACAGAAGAGAAGCCUAGGAGCAUAUCUUCCUAUCAGCAUGACAGCAAGGACAAAUCUGAUGUACUUCAUCUAAUGCAAAUCUUGACCAGUAGAACUAAGACAUGUUUUUAUUCUCAAAGUGACUUAAAACUCAGCAGUAAUUGGGAUCAGAGAAAUCUCACUUAAAAAAAUCAUAAACUACAUUUAAAAGUCUGAAGUUUACUUUUUACUGUGUAAAUUAAAAAAAAAAAGAACUUGCUGGAUGGGUGGGAUCCACAUAAUACAUUUUGUUUUCUCCAUUAUGUCUUUCAUGUUAUACAAUUUUAUGUCAUAUUUAAUGUUAUGCAAUGUACAUUAUAAAGAAAAUACAUGUCAAAUGGAUGAGAUCCUUUGUGUAUUUGUAACUGAUUAUUUGUGUUUUAUUAUAACCUUAUUUAUCUGUUGUAAUUACACAUGAACAUACUUGAAUAUAAAAGCAAAAGUGUAGUUAUCAAUAAUUCAGCCAUUUGGAAGGGUAUGUGAAUGAGUGUUUAUGUGUGUAACUGAGUAUAGUUAAAUGUUUGUUCAAUGUAUAGUUCAUUUCUUAAGUUUAAUAGAAGGCAUUUAAAAACGAAUUUAAUUUAGAAAUUGGAGAUAAAUUUGAAUCAGAAAUCAA